GACGAACGCUGGCGGCGUGCUUAACACAUGCAAGUCGAACGGAAAGGCCCUGCUUUUGUGGGGUGCUCGAGUGGCGAACGGGUGAGUAACACGUGAGUAACCUGCCCUUGACUUUGGGAUAACUUCAGGAAACUGGGGCUAAUACCGGAUAGGAGCUCCUGCUGCAUGGUGGGGGUUGGAAAGUUUCGGCGGUUGGGGAUGGACUCGCGGCUUAUCAGCUUGUUGGUGGGGUAGUGGCUUACCAAGGCUUUGACGGGUAGCCGGCCUGAGAGGGUGACCGGCCACAUUGGGACGGAGAUACGGCCCAGACUCCUACGGGAGGCAGCAGUGGGGAAUAUGGCACAAUGGGCGGAAGCCUGAUGCAGCAACGCCGCGUGCGGGAUGACGGCCUUCGGGUUGUAAACCGCUUUCGCCUGUGACGAAGCGUGAGUGGCGGUAAUGGGUAAAGAAGCACCGGCUAACUACGU
rnacentral:rRNA from 1 species